UACAAUAGAAGGCUUCUAAGGGCGGUCGGCUAAUCUCCCGGAGUGGAGGUGAUGCCUAUGGACAUGUAUCAGACAUUAUCCUUGAUGGUGAUGUUUGGGACGUUAAUCGUGUUGAUUAUGUCGCAAAAGAAAUAGACCGCCCCCCAGGUAAGGUGCGCGGUCUAUCUCCGUAACUGAAACCGGGCAGAGCCCUCCGCUCUUAAAGCGGCUGUUGUACAGGACCGCAGGUGUAACCGCACCUGCGG
rnacentral:sRNA from 1 species